GUAGGUGGCAAGCGUUGUCCGGAAUUAUUGGGCGUAAAGCGCGCGCAGGCGGUUCUUUAAGUCUGAUGUGAAAGCCCACGGGCUCAACCGUGGAGGGUCAUUGGAAACUGGAGAACUUGAGUACAGAAGAGGAAAGCGGAAUUCCACGUGUAGCGGUGAAAUGCGUAGAGAUGUGGAGGAACACCAGUGGCGAAGGCGGCUUUCUGGUCUGUAACUGACGCUGAGGCGCGAAAGCGUGGGGAGCAAACAGGAUUAGAUACCCUGGUAGUCCACGCCGUAAACGAUGAGUGCUAAGUGUUAGGGGGUUUUCGCCCCUUAGUGCUGCAGCUAACGCAUUAAGCACUCCGCCUGGGGAGUACGGCCGCAAGGCUG
rnacentral:rRNA from 1 species